CAUUAUGACAGACGCGCCGCCGUGGGUCACCGUGGCUAACAAACACGAAGCCGUACUCACAGCCGUGGUUCAGUAAGUAGAUGUCGCACUCGGCGUUGCCAGUGCCAUGCGCCGGUCGUCGGGAAGAGUGUAAAGAUUUAAAGGAAUAUAACUGUUUUGUUAGUGGAUUCCGUCAAAGUUAACGGAAUUUCAGUUGUUGUCGUUAAGUUAAUGACAACCAUCGUCGGCCUUCAUUUGCCGUCUCUGGAGUCACGCCAAAAGCUGUAAAGAGUUUUCCGAGAGCUUAUAGAGCUCAAAUCAGUCCAAAACUCAUGAUUUCACCAUCAAUCCUAGAAAAUAACAAAUAAGGUCUCGGGAACUCACCUAAAAUCAAUUUGGGAUGAGGAGAGAUCGAAUCCACCUCGGAUUCGAUGAGGUUAACUUGGUUAUGAAAACGAGAUCCAAGGUGCAUGUAUGUUAAAUCUUAGUAAUUUCCAUCUAAAAUCCAUAUGCAAAAAGGUAGUUAAUUACGUGGGACUGGUUCUGAAGGAUUAUUUUGUGAAAACAUGUUCAUUUAAGCAACAUCAUAUAGCAUGCAAUUAACAAUUAAAGGCGGAAUCAUGCUAGCAUGCACUUAAAAACAAAACAUUAACCAAGAAAUUCAAAGCCUAGUAGAUUGGUGAACCAUUAAUCAACUCAAAACAAAGUGAGUUGAAAUAUAUACCUUUGUAGAUUCCUCUUUGUAUUUAAACAAAGGCUAAUCACCCAAGAGAUAGGGCCUUCAUUCCUUGCAUCUUAGAUCCAUGGAUUUGGAUGGAUCUACACCAAGGAGAGCAUGGAUGAUAAAUGAGUGACCAUGGAAGAAUAGAUGGCUAGCUACAACUUCCAUGGUGGCCGGCUUUUCUAGAGAGAAAUGGAGAGACAAUUCUCACCAAUUUUCCCCAAAACAAACCCUUAAUGAAUAAAAGGCUAUAAAGUCAUAUUUAUACCUUUAUUCAUUUGAGUGGCAAACUUGUAAUUAAAGCAAGUUCACUACCCUUUCUCUAUAUGGCCGGCCAUGGGGGGUUGUUUGGGCUUUUGGGUCUUAGUGAAUCAUUAUUCAUUAAGUUGUCAUACAACUUAAGUCAAUGGGCUUGACGUUCGAAGCCCAUUGGGCCUUAAGGUCCAAAACCUAUCCCGAGGUCUUUAACGAACUUAUUCGUUUGAUUAAUUAACAUAUUAAUUAAUCCUUGCCAUAAAUAAUUAAACUAUUCAAUUAUUCUUACUCAUUUAGUUUGUUUCAUCCAUCUCCACCUUAUACGGUGUACGAUCCAUUAGGUUCCUUUUAGCGAGGCAGUGGGCGAUCAAAACUCUUUCAAAUCGAUUAUGAAUUGAAACUUACUUUCAAUUCUCCCUUUAGUGAUAAUACACUUUUAGGGCUUCCACAAACCAUGAGUGUGACACCUAGCCGUAUGUCAUGGUUACCCAAGCUAAUCAGAAGAGGUUAAGAACCUAUUCAGUUUAGGAUUACAAAUGCAAUACGGUCUUUCUCUAAUCUAAUACUCCUGACCACAUUGUUUGGUUUGAUAGUUUAUUUAUUCAUGUCUACUAUCCAAUGUGAUUCGUGUUCUUAUAUGAUUUCCUUGAAUGUGAUUUAGAACGACUUUUCUAAAUCUCAUUCAUACUCUGGCCAGAGAUUCUAAAUCAUAUCAUAGAGUAUUCUCCCUCAAACGGUUUGAAGGUUAGAGAUCCCUUGUUGCGCAUUCACUUGCCUCCAUGACUAAGUGGCUUAACCCCAACGAUGCCGUGGACACCCCGAUGGGGUGACAUUGACAUAAUCAAAGAUCAAGGACUUAACCACAAGACAACUGUGAUGCCUCAGGUCAAAGGACUAAUUUGCAUUAUCCCAAACAUGAGUUCUCAUGUGACAUGAGUAUGAGAACUCUUCGUUGAUCGCGUUCAGUGAACUCAUUCUCUACUGAGCACCUACGUACUUGUCUUGAUGUCACACACACCAAUGACUCGAGAGACUAGUCACUCUCCCUGAGAGAAGACAUAGCACGUACCGAUCUUGACGGACUGUCAAUGCCCAAUUGGCAAUCCUAUGAUCAGGAACAUUUAGGAUGUGUCUACGAAAGAAUGGUCUCAUGAAUCUAACUUCAUUAGAUUACAUUCUUCCAAUCACAUAUUCCUUGGACUUUAUCGUUUAAGCAUAUAACAUUUAUAUGAGACGGCUCAAACAAUAAUCUUUGCCCUUUAUAUUAAACUAGAUUAGUUUAACAUGUGAAAUGUCCGUAAAGUAUCAUCAUAUGAUUGGUUUUAGGGCACAUUUCCAACAAUCUCCCACUUGCACUAGAGCCAAUCAGCUUAGUCAUCAGUGAUGAUACCUCUUUUGUAGUCAUUUCAUAAAUGGCUGAAUAGUAGGCCUAGGCAAUGGAUAUCUAUAUGUUAUCCAUAGAAGCAACCUUGAGAAUAACGACGUCACCAUUAUACAUGAUUCUCAAUCAUGUGGUUCAGUCUCUCAUAUGAGUUCGGAUCUUGAUGAGACCUUGAUUCCCUGGCUUGAGCUAUCGCCCCAUUAGUGUCAUAGUGUCAGUACACUAGAUACACUUUCUGGUUGGAACCGAAUAGAGAGUUCACUAAAUGAACUUUCCCAUCCAAACAACAUUGUUGCAAACUUCUAUAUGGCAAUAUAUUUUGCAUUCAUAAUGGAACACACUAAAGUCAUUACUUUAAUGUUUCCAUCCAAAUAUCUCUUUAGUCAUAAUAAAGAGAUAUUCGUUUAUCUCUUCAUUCAUAAUGAAGAAACAUCCAAUGAUGGAUUAGAUUCAUAAUCUAAUACAUUUACGCUUCCAUUACGUUACUCUAAUUCUUCCUCAUUCUUUGAGGAAUCUAUCCUUUAGUAUUUCUUAAAUACUUAAGGACUCACUUGACAGUUGCCAUGGUUCUGAUCCUGGGCUUGCACUGAUAUCGUCUUGUACCGUUCUAGGUACAACUCAUAUCAAUGUUUUUCAUAUAAUAUGAAAUACAUAAAUCAUAUCAAUGUUUUUCAUAUAAUAUGAAAUACAUAAAUCACCUUUAUGCGUAUGCAUAAAGGAUUCUUAUUUACGCAUUAUUUCUUUGGGAGUCAAAGGGUACGUUCCCUUUGAGAAGAGCUACCUCCUAGUCUCACUAGAGUUGUUCUUCUGAUUAAAGUUUAUCAUCAUAUGAGAAACUUCCUAGCAUCUUUUGUCUAUUAUUGGGGAUUGAUAUAAUCAAAUUAUAUCCUAAAAUCUAUCAAUAUAGAUUUCCAUCCCAUGUAUAUAGACUAUGUCUCCCAUAUACAUUCUAUCUUUAUAGAAUGUUUAAAGUCAUAACUUUAACGAAUGUUUAAAGUCAUAACUUUAACGAAGAAGUAUUCAUUUCAUUUCCAAAAUUAAUAAAUCAUAUAUACAUUCAUAUAUAUCACAUAUAUAUUUAUAUAUAUAUUAUACAUACAAAUUUAGGAAUAUGACUAACUCCCACUAAUCUUUUGUAAACCUAGUAAACAAAAGAUUCAUUUACAUCUUUAUGAGAAAGCAAACGAUUUCACCUUUCUCUCAUAAGACGCUUAUAGCUCCCACUACCUUCCUAAGAUCCAUGAUGGAUGGAUCUCUACAACUUACAUGUCUUGUGAUUCAUAGUUUUAGACAUAUAUUAUCAAGACUAUCUUAAUAAUGGUUUCGGAAACCUAUAUUAUGUCCAAAUAUUGAAUCACCAUUUAGUUGUAGCUAGCAAUCUUCGAAUUAAUUGAAACUAAGACUACGUCAAAAAUGGUUCCUUCAAAGUCAACCAUUCUCUUUGAUUGUAGUCACCUUAAGCUACCAAUUAGCUUAUGAAGGUUUCAUUAUUUCGGGUUAAAUGGUACUUUACCAUUUCCUUGAGUAUAUAUCAUAUAUACACUCAAUGUAGUCAUAAGGAUUUUCAUUCUUAUUUCUUUCGAAUUAAGAGGUGCAACUCUAUGACAUAGUCAUAAAGUUCAAACCAUUUAACUGAGACGGUUUAUAAAUCCUUAUCGACUACCUUGGAGCUUUUGAUAUAGGAACUAGGUUGUUUAUAUUUGUUGAUUACUUUCUUGUCUCUCAAAGAACCCAUUCUUUGAGUUCUAUCUCUCGUUUAUUUGCUUUUAGGCAAAUCACAUUGUAGGAUUACAAUGAACUACCCAACAAAACAACAUUUGUUAGUUGGUUUAUAGAAGUGAUAUCCAAAAGUUAAUUUAAGGUAUCCCACAAGAUUGUUAUCAAACAAAUAUUGCUUAUUAGCACACAACCCCAAAUCUUAACAUGCUUGAGAUUUGUCUUUCUUUCCAACUACAUCUUAUGGAGUCAUGAAAAUAUUGGAAGAUCUUCUAAUUUACAAUCAUAUUGUUUUUAGAAGUAUAUAUCCUAUAUAUGGGUAAUUGAUAAUAUCCAACGAACUAAAUCUUUAUUCAAGUUCGUUCUUCUCCUAAUGGAGAAAUCUAUUAUCUUAUGAUGCUUCUUUCCUUGAUAUCUUUCAAGAAAACUAUUCUAAAGUGUUACCAUUCCUUGGAUCAAAUCUAAGGAUGUAAAUACUUUAGACGUCUUACUCAUCAACUUACAUUACUUGAAUUCUUUGAAACAUUUUGCAAAGUAUUCGGACUUGUGUUUAUUCAAAAUAAACUAUAGUCCAACCGAGAGUGAUCUUCGGUGAAUGUCAUCCAACAUGAGUAGUAUUAUGUUGUGGAUAAGUGCCACUAAUAUCUAAGUGAAUUAACCUCAACAACUUUGUGAUUCUUUCUUCUUUCCAAAAGAAUAAAGAUUCGAACAUUUCGCCUCUAUACAAUUUUAACAAGAAGGUAUUGGAUCCGGAUCUAACAAUCCAAAGCAUCCAUCUUUCACCAACUCAUAACUUAUGUUUUUAGAGGAAUCACAACUUAGUUGGGAUUAGUCACUACCUUGCAACCUUUUUGGGUUUAAGCAUCAUUAUGUUCUAAACAGUUAACACUACCAUAUCAUCUCUACUAUAGAGACAAUCAAUUAGAUUACUAUAAUCCAAUCAUUGAUUAAUAAAGAACAAUGUUUUGUCAAACAAAACAUUUAUCCAUUUCACAUAGUGACGGAAUUUAGUUCCUUAAAAUUGGAAUAUAAAGACAAUCUAUGUUUUUCCAAUUUCUUUGGUAGUUCAUAUGAGGAAGUAAGUACCAUCUGCUUUCGCAGAGAUCUAUAUUUUAUUCACUUUCCGAAUGUGAAGUACUUUCUCUUCUCUCAUUAAUCUUCUACUUCUUAUUAGCCACACUUUUACAACGAUUGUAAAACAUAGUUACUAAUACGGAAUCAAACAUUCAAGUAGAAGAGCCAACUGUUUUGAACUAUUCAAGAACAAUUUACAACACCUUCGAAAGGUGUGUUCUUGACACUUGCAAGACAUUUCUUGCAAAUACCCCUUCCAAUGUCCAUCCUUUCAUAAAGAAAGUUUGUUCCCUUGGAGUUAAUUUUAUCUUCUUCAUUUGACUUCUCCUUUGACUACAAUAGUCAUGGUCCCUAAACUCCCACUAUCUCUCUUGAAACCUUUUUCAAUUGUGUUAUACACAUCAAACAAUUUGGAGAGCUUGUGGUUAUUGUUCACUAUAUAGUUUACAAUAAACUUAGUGAACUAUAAGGAUAGGGAUACAAAGGUGAAGUCCUUGCCUAGUUUCCGUCUCGUUAAGUGGUUUAUCACUUCAACACUCAAUGAUUCAAAAUCAUCAUAAGCCCAUGUUAAUGGACUAUUUUUGUCAACCAACCAUUAUGUUCUAAACAUAAUUACAAACCUUCAAGAGUUGUACAAGGCAACUCUCAUUUCUUCAUACAACAAAUUGUAAGUGAAGAAUCAUGGCAUAUUAAGUGUCCAUGCCUUUGUGCUUUCUUCUCAAGUUCUUUGUUCAUUUAACAAAGAAACAAGCACUAGUGUUUGCAUUGACUAAGGGUUGUUCAAAGCAACUAUUAUUUCUUCAUACAACAAUUUGUAUGUGAAGAACUAAUAACACUAAAAGUGUCCUUUUCUUUAUGCUAAUCUUCGUAAGUUCCUUUGUUCAUAUAACGAAGGAAUAAGCAUUGGUUGUUUGUGUUGUUCUCUUCAUGAUAGACUUUUCUAACAUGUUCUUCCAAUGAUACAUUACCAAUAGAAAGAUUUUGAGGAUGAGACUACUUAGGUACAUAUACAAUCCAUUUAAGACAUUCUUUGGGAUUGUGGUACCAAGUCCGGAAACUAAAACAUUCGGUUUUAUUUGUCAAGUGUUGGAUAGCGUUUGCAAAUAUAUUGGUAAACAAAUACAUAACGAAUAUAAAUUGAUUGAUUUUAAGCCAUUUGAUUCGGGUCUUUAAAUCAAAUAGCACCACCCACUAUUUUUGGCAAAUUCCAUAUCCCUCAUUGGAAUUCGAGAGUUUUGGAUGAAACUCUUAGUAGGUUAUGGGAGGCUCACCAUUACCAAGCCCACCUCAGAAGAACUCCAUAUUGGCUAGCAACAAUAAUAAUGAGAGAGUACGCUUACUCAUUUGCAACUAAUGCAAGUACCCAUCUUAUUUGGCCUCUAGAGAAUGAUGCCUCAGAAGAACUCCAUAUUGGCACCAUUGCACUUAGUUAAGUCAUUCCCACCAUGCUAGUUCAAGUAGGGGUUCAAGAAUGGCCUCAGAAGAACUCCAUAUUGGCCAUACUCGUUGCCUACUUUCGCUUCAUCAUAUGUUUAUAGGCUUCUCCUGAAUGUAAGCACAUACUUUGCAACCCCAGAACUGGACGAAUACUUUGUAUGAGUCACAAACGAUUGAAGCCUACCACGGUGGAAGGCCACGAAAGAAUGUUCAAAGCACUCUCACGCUUUUCAACUUAAUAUUGGUUUGGUUGAGGGUUUUAGGUCUCAUCACAUAUAAAUAUUCAUUUUAAUCUCUAUUAAAACUAUUUUGGUCCUAUUACAACUAUUGGUCCAUAUGAUUGUUUUUAGUUGUAUAUAAUACUCCCACUAUGCUUAUAAAACGGUUUUUAAAAGCAAGAGUAUAUGAUACUACUAACAUAACCUUUGCAUUCAUUUGAUGGACUAUAUAGUUGCCUUAGGGCCUUAGGAUGACUAUGAACCUUUGUUUAGAUUCAACACGAGCCUUGUGUUGAAUCUCGGUCUAGGGAUGGUGAUUGAUUUUAGUUACGCGUUUAAUCACAUUAAGGCGUGUUGUCUUAGGGGCGUUGGACCCAACUACUUCAUUUUUCAUGCAUAUCAAAUAAAGCAAGAAAGAAGUACUUCAAAGUAAAGGUGAGCUUAUGCUCAUUACAACAUUUGCAUAAAACAAAUUACUUUAAAGUAAAGAAGAGCUUAUGCCCUUUUACAACAUUUGAUCAAAUCAAAUUACAACCAAAAUUAAUCUACACAUUCCCAUGGUUCAAACAAAUUUGAAACGGCCUAUCACAUAGCUCAAUUAUAUUAGGCUUAGGUUCAUAAUCACCCUUUAAUUAAUUAACACUUUAACUAAUUAAAUUGAAUGCAACAUUUUCAUUUGGUUUUUGUAUCCAUAAAAUUGAUUUAAAUGGAGCUAAACAAAAUGAAAAUCCAAUUCUCAUUUAAAGAGACAAAACAAUUUUGUUCUCUACUUAAUUUGGGCCAAUAUGCAAUAACCACAACUUUUGGGCCAUAAAGCAAUUAACCUCAACUUUUGGGCUAUAUUGCAAAACUUUUGGGGUCACUUUGUAAAGACACAAAAGUCCACUACUUCAUGUAAUUACAUUAGAACCCAAAAUUUAAUCAAUGCAAAAACUUCAUUAAAGGAUCAAAACAAUUUGUCCUUUAGCGUUUUUGGACCUAAACGUAAAAACGUAAACUUUUGGGCCAAAGUGCAAAUACACAAAAGUAUCAAAACUUUAUGUAAUUGCAUAAAAGCCCCAAAAGUACCCCACUUGCAAGGGUGGCCGGUUUUGGAAGAGGAUAGAGUGAUGUGUGUGUUGAUUUGUGAGUUUUAGACAUAAAGCAUGCAAGUGGUGCAAGUGGUGUGUGUGAAAGGAAAUUAAUCCUUACACACCCAUCACCAUUUCCAUCACCCUUCAAAUAAAUAUCUUAUGCAAUAAAUCAUUUGAAAAAAACAUAAAACACAAACUUUAUGAAAUAAAUCAAAACUUUGAAUCAAAACACAAACCUUUUUGUUCUUGGCAAAAAUGUCAAGAACAAUGAAGAACACUCAUGAAAAAACUCAAAAUUUUCCAUGAACAUUUUUCACCUAAAAACAUUCCAAAACCAUUCAAACUUUAGGGAAAUAACAUCUAACCAAACUAGGGUACAUAGGGGUUCCAAAAGUCACUUGAAAACACUUUUAACAAGUCAAACAAGAACCCAAAAAUCCACCCUUUGGAUUUGGCCGAAAAUCCCCAAAGUCAUGGCACCAAAUUUUAGCUCCAAUAUUCAUGCUCAUAUGAACUACAUCUACAACAUUUGAGAUGGCAAAUUUUUCUAACAAAAAUUUACAUUCAAAGAAACAAGAAUAAAGCUUGUAACAUAUUACAACUUUUAAAUCACAAACUAUGAACUACAAAACCCAAAAGGAUUCACCAACUACUAGACCUAGGCUCUGAUACCACUUGAAGGAUUAUUUUGUGAAAACAUGUUCAUUUAAGCAACAUCAUAUAGCAUGCAAUUAACAAUUAAAGGCGGAAUCAUGCUAGCAUGCACUUAAAAACAAAACAUUAACCAAGAAAUUCAAAGCCUAGUAGAUUGGUGAACCAUUAAUCAACUCAAAACAAAAGUGAGUUGAAAUAUAUACCUUUGUAGAUUCCUCUUUGUAUUUAAACAAAGGCUAAUCACCCAAGAGAUAGGGCCUUCAUUCCUUGCAUCUUAGAUCCAUGGAUUUGGAUGGAUCUACACCAAGGAGAGCAUGGAUGAUAAAUGAGUGACCAUGGAAGAAUAGAUGGCUAGCUACAACUUCCAUGGUGGCCGGCUUUUUCUAGAGAGAAAAUGGAGAGACAAUUCUCACCAAUUUUCCCCAAAACAAACCCUUAAUGAAUAAAAAGGCUAUAAAGUCAUAUUUAUACCUUUAUUCAUUUGAGUGGCAAACUUGUAAUUAAAGCAAGUUCACUACCCUUUCUCUAUAUGGCCGGCCAUGGGGGGUUGUUUGGGCUUUUGGGUCUUAGUGAAUCAUUAUUCAUUAAGUUGUCAUACAACUUAAGUCAAUGGGCUUGACGUUCGAAGCCCAUUGGGCCUUAAGGUCCAAAACCUAUCCCGAGGUCUUUAACGAACUUAUUCGUUUGAUUAAUUAACAUAUUAAUUAAUCCUUGCCAUAAAUAAUUAAACUAUUCAAUUAUUCUUACUCAUUUAGUUUGUUUCAUCCAUCUCCACCUUAUACGGUGUACGAUCCAUUAGGUUCCUUUUAGCGAGGCAGUGGGCGAUCAAAACUCUUUCAAAUCGAUUAUGAAUUGAAACUUACUUUCAAUUCUCCCUUUAGUGAUAAUACACUUUUAGGGCUUCCACAAACCAUGAGUGACACCUAGCCGUAUGUCAUGGUUACCCAAGCUAAUCAGAAGAGGUUAAGAACCUAUUCAGUUUAGGAUUACAAAUGCAAUACGGUCUUUCUCUAAUCUAAUACUCCUGACCACAUUGUUUGGUUUGAUAGUUUAUUUAUUCAUGUCUACUAUCCAAUGUGAUUCGUGUUCUUAUAUGAUUUCCUUGAAUGUGAUUUAGAACGACUUUUCUAAAUCUCAUUCAUACUCUGGCCAGAGAUUCUAAAUCAUAUCAUAGAGUAUUCUCCCUCAAACGGUUUGAAGGUUAGAGAUCCCUUGUUGCGCAUUCACUUGCCUCCAUGACUAAGUGGCUUAACCCCAACGAUGCCGUGGACACCCCGAUGGGGUGACAUUGACAUAAUCAAAGAUCAAGGACUUAACCACAAGACAACUGUGAUGCCUCAGGUCAAAGGACUAAUUUGCAUUAUCCCAAACAUGAGUUCUCAUGUGACAUGAGUAUGAGAACUCUUCGUUGAUCGCGUUCAGUGAACUCAUUCUCUACUGAGCACCUACGUACUUGUCUUGAUGUCACACACACCAAUGACUCGAGACUAGUCACUCUCCCUGAGAGAAGACAUAGCACGUACCGAUCUUGACGGACUGUCAAUGCCCAAUUGGCAAUCCUAUGAUCAGGAACAUUUAGGAUGUGUCUACGAAAGAAUGGUCUCAUGAAUCUAACUUCAUUAGAUUACAUUCUUCCAAUCACAUAUUCCUUGGACUUUAUCGUUUAAGCAUAUAACAUUUAUAUGAGACGGCUCAAACAAUAAUCUUUGCCCUUUAUAUUAAACUAGAUUAGUUUAACAUGUGAAAUGUCCGUAAAGUAUCAUCAUAUGAUUGGUUUUAGGGCACAUUUCCAACAGGUUCAAGUUGAGCUCGAGAUCCAAAAACCCCAAACUCACCGGAAUUUGCUCGGAGAAGAUAACAGGAAACUGGCAAGGUUUCAGAGAAAAUGCAGGGAUUAAAGCCCUCCAUUUCGAAGUAAAAUUUAUCACAAAUCACUUCCCAAGCAAGGAGAAAGUACAGAUAAGCAAGAAUCAAGCCAAACCUCACAUGGGUUUCGAGAUUUGAAGCUUGAAGCUCUCAGCUUCAAUGGCAAAGCACCACCUAAGCUUCGAUCGCACAUGCAAUGGUACCACUGAGUUCCUCAAGUCCUAGGGAUCCCAAUUAUGUGGUUUUGGGUCUCGAUUUGUGAUGGUAAGUGGGAGAGUGAGAGCUCUCGUCUCUCGGUGCUAGAGAGAGUGAGUUUGAGAGGAGAGCGAGGGUUUAGAGAGAGAGAGAGAGAGUGAUAUGAAAGUGAGGGAAGAGAGGAACCAAGAGAGAGUGUAAGCCAAAUUAACCAAAGUUAAGUGAAAUUACAUUUUUGCCCUCCGUAAUUAUAAAAACUACAAUUAUGCCCUUGAGACUUCGAUUUGAAUUUUGUUUCCAAUUUCACAUUCCCGUCCAUUAGUAUAUUUAGAAAAAAGUAAGAAAGUAUAAGAAAUUAGACUUAAAGUCAAGGCUUGAAAAUUACUCAAGACACCCACUCAGGAGCAAAAUGGUCCUUUUACAUGUAUUGGGAAUAAAGUAUAAUAUUUUAAGGAACAUGUUGUAACAACUUCCUUGUACUUUAAAUAUUCUUUAACAUUCCCCACUACUUUGAUUAUGUAUUUAGCUUGUAUGUUUGGAUUAUGAUACAAAUUAAAGGCUUGGCCUCGUUUGGCCUUUAGGGUUGGAUUGGAAUGAAAAAUUCAUUAUAUUUAAGGCAUGUUGAACAAAGAAAUGAUAAAAUUUCCAACUUAGAUGUAGAACAUAGAUUUUAUUGAUGCAAAUUUCCGUUGUCCUUUUCUUUGACAAAAAUGCAUAUACAAAACAAUCAACACCUUUGAUCAAAGACCUAAGCCUCACACGCUCAUGAAGUUUGGAGGGGGGGUGUUAGGCCAAUUGAU
rnacentral:lncRNA from 1 species